AUGCAUCUCAAAUACAAAGGGUAAAAAUGACACCCACAAUAAUGACAAACUGAUGAGGUGGAAAAAUGCCAAAAAAACAACCCAAACAAAUGUGUUAUUGGAGAUGGUCUUAGAAGAAACCCUAACACAGAUCUCUCAAGUUCACCCGCACACCAAGUCUCUGCCUCUCUCCUUCUUGCAACUCCGACCACCGGAGUGAGCUCCGGCGACAAGCAUAUACCCAGCUCCGGUUCUCUUCUCCAGCCGCAUACCCACCUCCAAACUCUGGUCUCUCCUUAAAAUCAAAACGACAGAUAGAGAGAGAGCUUGAAACAGAGACUAAGAGAGAGAGAGAGAGAAAGUGAGAAACCAGAGAAAAAGAGAGGGAUAUGUGGAAGAAAAGAGCGACUGUUCACGAAACGGCAGCUCUCCGGCGAGGGUGAGAGCGGUGAUGAAGUGGUGGCUCGAGGUCGAAACAGAGACGGAGAGGGUACGGUGGCCGCGUUCUUCCAAAAACCCACCCAAAACCUAGAGAGAAAAGGAUCAGGGGAGUGUCCGGUCGGCCAGUCGUUCCUUCAACGGCGCGUGCACCAUCACGCCACGCAGAUCAGAAGUCCGAUUUCCAAGACAUGGUGACAGUUUGGAGGUCGGACAAGGAUCGCGUGGAGAUGUAACUAUCUUGCUUAGUCAUUAAUAACGUUCAAUAACGAGGAAAGUUUGAGAAAAUUGUUGUAGUACGAUCCAUAUGUUCAAGAUUCAAGGAGACAACUGAUCUGCCUAUAUGUUUAAGCAAGGGUAUUUUUCCAUAAAAUUAGAGUCAACAAACGUGUAUACAUAAUAUUAUACAUGUUCUAUCCUGAAGAACUAGAGACAAAUGAGUGUCUUGAAAGGAAUGUUAGUUGUUGUAUUGACACACAAAAUGGCAUAAGUGCUUUCAAGGACACUUAUAGAGGACGAGUAUGCGAAUGCCUUGCUGUAAACGGGGUGCAAUUUCUAAGGGAUGGACAUAUGCGUUUUGUGAAAGUUCAUGGAAUCCCCUUUAGUUGAGUUUUUAACAACACCACUCUUAACAUAUGUAACGUGCUUUAUAAUAUUGGAUGGUAUAAAUGACCGUCGUCGGACCCGGUAGAUGUAACGUCAACAAUGGCAGAUGUUGGUCGGCUAUACGGGAUGGAUAAAGGAGAAUAACAUAACCGGUUGUGGUUGCCCACAGGUAUUCGUGUAGAUGGUCGUACUUGUGAAGGUGUAAGGCCACUAAUGGUGGAUAUGAACGCAAACGCAAGGGGGACAAACUGUACAUAGCUGAUCAUCUUUUUUCGGUUAUUAAGUAUCAAAGUGUUGUUCAUGAGGUCGAUCCGUAGUUCAAUUACCAGCGGUUGUCAUGCCAAAUUGAUUCGUGCUUUAUCUUGCAAUAACCUCAGUUCCUAACCCUCAUUGUAUCCUUUUCCAAUUGAUUCAAGUAUAAAAUCAUCGCUACAGUAACCAACAACACAGGAGGAAUCCAGGCAGUGAUUUUCGACCGAGCAGGCAACCAACUAUUGGGAAUGACAUGCGAAGAACUGGCUGCAAACGAAGACCCCAUGAAAACUCUGUAUAUAGUUAUCGGCAAAGAAGCAUACAUGAACAUCCAUCCACUAAGAACAUUGAACCAGCUUCUUCCGGUCUCACUGAUGCAAUAAAAACACCACAACCAACCACACCAACUCAAAAGGCAAACACUGGAAACGCAGCCAAGCACCAACUGGAAUUCCACGACUCAAAUCAGCCAUCUAAAAGGCCUGGCAAAGGCACCCUCACAGACUAAAAUCUGGUUAACAACAAUCAUUUGUUUUGUCCACCUAGAUCAACAACUAUAAGUGGGAUGGCAGAGUCAAGAGCAAGAAAUAGUCAACCAAUCUCUUUUGUACAAAUGAUGAUGACUGAACUGCAUGCUGCAUACACAAGCAACAUAGCACGUCAACUUUGUAAAACAUGUAGCUAAUGGCUGAAUGUUAAUGCCUAGACAUACUAUUUUUUUAUGGUUGCAUCUGCAAAGCAGCAUAACAACUUUAUGAUCCUUGCCUGUUAACAUAACAAAAUCACACAUCCAUAUCUAACUAAAAGCAACUUCUAAUGUCGCGCAACGCGCGAAAGCUUGAAUACCCCUAGUUUCAUUAAAUAAAAAAAACAUUACAAUAAAACUACGCAUAGUCGUUGGGUGAAUAAUGCCCCACCCUAGGGCGUUUUGCGCCAUGUGA
rnacentral:lncRNA from 1 species